rnacentral:rRNA from 1 species
GAUGAACGCUAGCUACAGGCUUAACACAUGCAAGUCGAGGGGCAGCAUGAACUUAGCUUGCUAAGUUUGAUGGCGACCGGCGCACGGGUGAGUAACACGUAUCCAACCUGCCGAUGACUCGGGGAUAGCCUUUCGAAAGAAAGAUUAAUACCCGAUGGCAUAAUUCUUCCGCAUGGUAGAACUAUUAAAGAAUUUCGGUCAUCGAUGGGGAUGCGUUCCAUUAGGUUGUUGGCGGGGUAACGGCCCACCAAGCCUUCGAUGGAUAGGGGUUCUGAGAGGAAGGUCCCCCACAUUGGAACUGAGACACGGUCCAAACUCCUACGGGAGGCAGCAGUGAGGAAUAUUGGUCAAUGGUCGGCAGACUGAACCAGCCAAGUCGCGUGAGGGAAGACGGCCCUACGGGUUGUAAACCUCUUUUGUCGGAGAGUAAAGUACGCUACGUGUAGUGUAUUGCAAGUAUCCGAAGAAAAAGCAUCGGCUAACUCCGUG